GACGAACCGAGCGAACGUUGUCCGGAAUUAUUGGGCGUAAAGAGCUCGUAGGCGGUGUGUCGCGUCGGCCGUGAAAACCUGCAGCUUAACUGUGGGCGUGCGGUCGAUACGGGCAUCACUGGAGUUCGGCAGGGGAGACUGGAAUUCCUGGUGUAGCGGUGAAAUGCGCAGAUAUCAGGAGGAACACCGGUGGCGAAGGCGGGUCUCUGGGCCGAUACUGACGCUGAGGAGCGAAAGCGUGGGGAGCGAACAGG
rnacentral:rRNA from 1 species